rnacentral:rRNA from 1 species
CUACCAUGCAGUCGAGCGGUAGAGAGAAGCUUGCUUCUCUUGAGAGCGGCGGACGGGUGAGUAAUGCCUAGGAAUCUGCCUGGUAGUGGGGGAUAACGUUCGGAAACGGACGCUAAUACCGCAUACGUCCUACGGGAGAAAGCAGGGGACCUUCGGGCCUUGCGCUAUCAGAUGAGCCUAGGUCGGAUUAGCUAGUUGGUGGGGUAAUGGCUCACCAAGGCGACGAUCCGUAACUGGUCUGAGAGGAUGAUCAGUCACACUGGAACUGAGACACGGUCCAGACUCCUACGGGAGGCAGCAGUGGGGAAUAUUGGACAAUGGGCGAAAGCCUGAUCCAGCCAUGCCGCGUGUGUGAAGAAGGUCUUCGGAUUGUAAAGCACUUUAAGUUGGGAGGAAGGGUUGUAGAUUAAUACUCUGCAAUUUUGACGUUACCGACAGAAUAAGCACCGGCUAACUCUGUGCCAGCAGCCGCGGUAAUACAGAGGGUGCAAGCGUUAAUCGGAAUUACUGGGCGUAAAGCGCGCGUAGGUGGUUUGUUAAGUUGGAUGUGAAAUCCCCGGGCUCAACCUGGGAACUGCAUUCAAAACUGACUGACUAGAGUAUGGUAGAGGGUGGUGGAAUUUCCUGUGUAGCGGUGAAAUGCGUAGAUAUAGGAAGGAACACCAGUGGCGAAGGCGACCACCUGGACUAAUACUGACACUGAGGUGCGAAAGCGUGGGGAGCAAACAGGAUUAGAUACCCUGGUAGUCCACGCCGUAAACGAUGUCAACUAGCCGUUGGAAGCCUUGAGC